ACCGGAGGAAGGUGGGGACGACGUCAGAUCAUCAUGCCCCUUAUGACCUGGGCAACACACGUGCUACAAUGGGAAGUACAACGAGUCGCAAACUGGCGACGGUAAGCUAAUCUCUUAAAACUUCUCUCAGUUCGGACUGGAGUCUGCAACUCGACUCCACGAAGGCGGAAUCGCUAGUAAUCGCGAAUCAGCAUGUCGCGGUGAAUACGUUCCCGGGUCUUGUACACAC
rnacentral:rRNA from 1 species